AUUAUUUCAGUUCGUGUCACUUUUUUACAUAAAAUUUUUAUUUGUGCAAUAUGUGAAUUAAAAAGAGAUAGAAAGCGAUUUUUGUUGCAAAAGCUAGAAGCAGAACGAAGCUGCCAGUGCAGUAGUUAUUCCGAUUUUAUAGUUAAAAGUGAGUUGACACAUAAAUAAAUUUAGACGGCGAGUUCAGUGUUCUAAACACCGAAUCUCAACGAGCCAACCGUCUCUAAAUUAAUUUAGUGAACUCAAAAUAUUGGCUUCAAUUCGCAAUAAAAUAAAUCGUGAAGCAGAACAUUUAUGAAAAAUAGCCUUGGAUUGUGCUACCGAGUCUAACUGCCCACACAAGAACCCACUUUAUUUUGUCACGAAAUGGCAUGUUUAAACACUUUAAAGUUAGAAAUAAAAACUCUGGAAAAAAUAUUUACUAAAAGUCAUGAGCGCUUCCAAAUUCUUAACUCGAGUGUGGACGAACUGACCUGUCGGUUUAUUGGGAGAAA